rnacentral:rRNA from 1 species
GAUGAACGCUAGCGGCAGGCCUAACACAUGCAAGUCGAGGGGUAUCCCGCUUUCGGGCGGGAGAGACCGGCGCACGGGUGCGUAACGCGUAUGCAACCUACCCUGUACUGAGGGAUAGCCCGGAGAAAUUCGGAUUAACACCUCAUAGUACUAAUGAAUGGCAUCAUUUAUUAGUUAAAGGUUACGGUACAGGAUGGGCAUGCGUCCUAUUAGCUAGAUGGUAAGGUAACGGCUUACCAUGGCUACGAUAGGUAGGGGGCCUGAGAGGGUGGUCCCCCACACUGGAACUGAGACACGGACCAGACUCCUACGGGAGGCAGCAGUGAGGAAUAUUGGUCAAUGGGCGCAAGCCUGAACCAGCCAUGCCGCGUGCAGGAAGACGGUCCUAUGGAUUGUAAACUGCUUUUAUUUGGGAAUAAACCUCUUUACGUGUAGAGAGCUGAAGGUACCAAAUGAAUAUGCACCGGCUAACUCCGUGCCAGCAGCCGCAGUAA